GACAGCUUUCAUUUGGAUCCAUUUGAUUUUAUUACUUCAGCUUGCUUACGUUUUUCUGGUCUCUUCAACUUCAACCAUAGCAAUUAAUCUAAAAAAUUCCUCCUAUAAGUGGAUGCUUGUCUCAGAGGUGAUGACCAAAGUGAACACCUGGAUCAUGAGGUCUAGGCUGCUUCUCUUCAAGAUGUCCUCCGUCGGUGGAUUGCCCUGCCAAACAAACCCAAAAGACUGAUGAGGCCAUGAGGCUUUGCAGGAAGAGCCACUGGUCUGCACCCCACCACAGGGGAGGAGGAGGAGGAGGAGGAGGAGGAAGAGGAGGGAUCUAUGAGCUUGUAGAGAACGCCAGAAGAGGCAGCAGGGAGUUCAUCAAGGGCCCCAUAUCCCAGAAGAGCUGUGAAGGACCCCACGUCCCAGACAAGAAGAGGCAUCAGGCUGCUGUGUCACUGCUGGAAAUAUCGACAGCCCUGUGCAGCGUACGUGUGCCUGCGGAGUGGAUGUCAGACACAACAGAGGACUGAUUGACGCGUACUGGACUAGGGAACCCCACGGCUUUGGGGCAGCUAUAUAGGAGGGCACAGUGGGGGGGGGUUCGA